rnacentral:rRNA from 1 species
GAUGAACGCUGGCGGCGUGCUUAACACAUGCAAGUCGAGCGAUGAAGUUUCCUUCGGGAAACGGAUUAGCGGCGGACGGGUGAGUAACACGUGGGUAACCUGCCUCAUAGAGUGGAAUAGCCUUCCGAAAGGAAGAUUAAUACCGCAUAACGUUGAAAGAUGGCAUCAUCAUUCAACCAAAGGAGCAAUCCGCUAUGAGAUGGACCCGCGGCGCAUUAGCUAGUUGGUGGGGUAACGGCCUACCAAGGCGACGAUGCGUAGCCGACCUGAGAGGGUGAUCGGCCACAUUGGGACUGAGACACGGCCCAGACUCCUACGGGAGGCAGCAGUGGGGAAUAUUGCACAAUGGGGGAAACCCKGAUGCAGCAACGCCGCGUGAGUGAUGAAGGUUUUCGGAUCGUAAAGCUCUGUCUUUGGGGAAGAUAAUGACGKACCCAAGGRG